AUGAACGCAAGCGACAGGCUUAACACAUGCAAGUCGAGGGGCAGCGGGGAGUAGCAAUACUUUGCCGGCGACCGGCGCACGGGUGCGUAACGCGUAUGCAACCUACCUACAAGAGGGGGAUAGCCCGGCGAAAGUCGGAUUAAUACCCCAUAACGCAGGGGUUCCGCCUGGGACUAUUUGCUAAAGGAGCGAUCCGCUUGUAGAUGGGCAUGCGUUCCAUUAGGUAGUUGGUUGGGGUAACGGCCCACCAAGCCAUCGAUGGAUAGGGGUUCUGAGAGGAAGGUCCCCCACACUGGUACUGAGACACGGACCAGACUCCUACGGGAGGCAGCAGUGAGGAAUAUUGGUCAAUGGUCGGAAGACUGAACCAGCCAAGUCGCGUGAAGGAAGAAGGAUCUAUGGUUCGUAAACUUCUUUUAUAGGGGAAUAAGAAUAGCUACGUGUAGCUACGUGCAUGUACCCUAUGAAUAAGCAUCGGCUAACUCCGUGCCAG
rnacentral:rRNA from 1 species